GUCUACGGACAUGCUACCCUGAACAAGCCCCAUCUAGUCUGAUCUCAGAAGCUAAGCAGGGUCGGGCCUGGUUAGUACUUGGAUGGGAGACCACCUAGGAAGACCAGGUGCUGUAGGCA
rnacentral:rRNA from 1 species